GGUGGCAGAGAGCCAUUAAGCCAGCAUCCUAAGCGCAAAGGUGCCCGAGGGCCCGCCCAGAGGGUGCGCUGCGUGCCUCGGUCCAUGCCGCUGUACUCAGCAAGGGGCUAUAACACUUUGACCGAAGACAAAGCCACAUUCCCCAAGCCUAUAUCCAGCGGCACAAACCGAUGCUGGCCUGCCAAUACGAAAAUACACCAAGUCCAAAGACAAGGCUGAAUCCGCACAGCAUAUCUGACUCCCUACCCUUCCCUUCCGGCAAUUUCACGUACUGUUUAACUCUCUUUCCAAAGUUCUUUUCAUCUUUCCCUCACGGUACUUGUUCGCUAUCGGUCUCUCCUCGAUAUUUAGCCUUAGAUGGCAUUUACCACCCAUUUUGAGCUGCAUUCCCAAACAACUCGACUCUUGGAGAGCGUAUCACAAAGCCCCGGGGACUCCAAGCCAAGUACGGGACUCUCACCCUCUAUGAUGCCCUAUUCCAAGGGACUUGAGCUUGGUCCGGCGCGGAAAACGCUUCUCGAGUUUACAAUGCGGACGCCGAAGACGCCAGCUUUCAAACUUGGGCUCUUCCCUCUUCACUCGCCGUUACUAGGGGAAUCCUUGU
rnacentral:rRNA from 1 species